rnacentral:rRNA from 1 species
UACAGAGGCCUCGAGCGUUAGGCGGAAUCACUGGGCUUAAAGCGUGUGUAGGCGGACUUCUAAGUACCUUGUGAAAUCCCACGGCUCACCCGUGGAACUGCUGGGCAUACUGGGCGUCUUGGGCCAACUAGGGGCAGCCGGAACAAGCGGUGGAGCGGUGAAAUGCGUAGAUAUCGCUUGGAACGCCGAAGGUGAAAACAGGCUGCUGGGGUUGCGCCGACGCUGAGACACGAAAGCCAGGGGAGCAAACGGG